CUGCUGCCUCCCGUAGGAGUCUGGACCGUCUCUCAGUUCCAAUGUGGCCGUUCAACCUCUCAGUCCGGCUACUGAUCGUCGACUUGGUGAGCCGUUACCUCACCAACUAUCUAAUCAGACAUGAGCCCAUCUUUCAGCGGAUUGCUCCUUUGAUAACAGGAUCAUGCGAUCCCGUCAUUUCAUGCGGUAUUAGCACACCUUUCGAUGUGUUAUCCCCCUCUGAAAGGCAAGUUG
rnacentral:rRNA from 1 species